rnacentral:miRNA from 1 species
CCCGGUGAGGAUAUGGCAGGGAAGGGGAGUUUCCCUCUAUUCCCUUCCCCCAGUAAUCUUCAUCAUG